CGUUUGAAUUCUUUUAUGUCCAACAAGGAUUUUCCAAUAGAUAUGGUCUAUGAAGGUACUUUAUUUCUCACCUCUCAUCUACCUCCAGGAACCCACCUCCCCCCCUCUAAUCAUCCUCAAAACAUACCAACUUCCUGAUCAGGUUCCAUUUCUGAGAAGCAAAGGGAUCUGAUGCUGACCUAGGGUUUAGCAAUGAUGAAACAACACACGCACGGCACAUGCAACGGAAAUUGAAAUUAGGCCCUCUCAACAUCUAAUUUCUCACAGGGUAAAAUAUUGUAUUACCAAUUGCGCAAUCAGAUCUUUAUUCUGAAAUCCAAUCCCUGCUCCUCAUUUCAUAUUUCAUUUAUACUCUCUUCCCACUCUAGCUCAGAGAUCUAUAGAGAAAUUGCAUCCCAGAAUGUGCUCUAUGAGUUAUAUAUCAACACAAUUCAUAUGCUGAUUGGAGUCAUUGGGAACAGUUAGAAUUCCCUUUACUCGUUCAAAAAUAUCGUCAAUUGUACUAUUUGCUGAGUUUGCAAGUUGAGUCUCCAUAUACACAUUCACCGAUGUGGCUUUGUCGUAUCAACUGCUGCCACUAGUAAAAGCACAUUCUUGUCUUUCUAUUCAGAACAAAGAAGCCCUUCCGUAGAGAUACCGCACAGAGUAUUAGAGGUGACACUAGUCGGGAGUCCGAAGUCGUUCAAAUUUUUAAAAGAAG
rnacentral:sRNA from 2 species